rnacentral:tRNA from 1 species
UAGAAGAUAGUAUAGUGGGAGUACGGGGGUUUUUGGAACCUCAAAUGUGGGUUCGAGUCCCAUUUUUCUAU